rnacentral:sRNA from 1 species
UUGUUAAGUUUUUUUGCCAAAUAGAAGCAAAAACUUAUGCUUUAGUUAAAUGUAUUAUGUGCUUUUUUUCAGAGUACAGUUUUAUAUAAUGUAUCUUUAAAAUCAAUUACUGGCAGAAUCUGAUUUUUUUUUCUUUUUCAAGGGAAAAAUUUAUACACAAAUGAAUAUGUGGCAAUUAAGUUGGAGCCCAUGAAAUCAAGAGCACCACAGCUACAUUUGGAAUACAGAUUCUAUAAGCAGUUAGGAUCUGGAG